UACGGAGGGGGCUAGCGUUGUUCGGAAUUACUGGGCGUAAAGCGCGCGUAGGCGGGCUGGAAAGUUGGGGGUGAAAUCCCGGGGCUCAACCCCGGAACUGCCUUCAAAACUAUCAGUCUGGAGUCCGGGAGAGGUGAGCGGAAUUGCGAGUGUAGAGGUGAAAUUCGUAGAUAUUGGGAAGAACACCGGUGGCGAAGGCGGCUACCUGGCCCGGAACUGACGCUGAGGUGCGAAAGCGUGGGGGGCAAACAGG
rnacentral:misc_RNA from 1 species